rnacentral:rRNA from 1 species
UCUGCCACCGAAUACAUUAGCAUGGGAUAAUGGAAUAGGACCCUGUCCUCRAAUUUCAGUUGGUUUUGCACCGAGGACCAGGGUAAUGAUCAAUAGGGAUAGUUGGGGGCAUUAAUAUUUAAUUGUCAGAGGUGAAAUUCUUGGAUUUAUGAAAGAUUAACUUCUGCGAAAGCAUCUGCCAAGGAUGUUUUCAUUAAUCAAGAACGAAAGUUAGGGGAUCGAAGACGAUCAGAUACCGUCGUAGUCUUAACCAUAAACGAUGCCGACCAGCGAUUAGGAGACGUUGAAUACAAAACACCACCAUCGGUGCGGUCGUCCUUGGCACGUCAUUGGGCGCAAGCCCGUGGCGGGCGAGGGCGGUUUAGCCUGAUGGCAUCGGUGAAUGACUCCCCUAGCAGCUUGUGWKUUUUUU